AGCGAACGCUGGCGGCAGGCUUAACACAUGCAAGUCGAGCGGGCCCUUCGGGGUCAGCGGCAGACGGGCGAGUAACGCGUGGGAACGUGCCCUUCGGUUCGGAAUAACUCAGGGAAACUUGAGCUAAUACCGGAUACGCCCUUAUGGGGAAAGGCUUGCUGCCGAAGGAUCGGCCCGCGUCUGAUUAGCUAGUUGGUGAGGUUAUGGCUCACCAAGGCGACGAUCAGUAGCUGGUCUGAGAGGAUGAUCAGCCACACUGGGACUGAGACACGGCCCAGACUCCUACGGGAGGCAGCAGUGGGGAAUAUUGGACAAUGGGGGCAACCCUGAUCCAGCCAUGCCGCGUGAGUGAUGACGGCCUUAGGGUUGUAAAGCUCUUUUCUCCGGGACGAUAAUGACGGUACCGGAGGAAUAAGCCCCGGCUAACUUCGUG
rnacentral:rRNA from 1 species